rnacentral:rRNA from 1 species
GACGAACGCUGGCGGCAGGCUUAACACAUGCAAGUCGAACGCAUCCUUCGGGGUGAGUGGCAGACGGGUGAGUAACGCGUGGGAACGUGCCCUUCAGUUCGGGAUAACCCAGGGAAACUUGGGCUAAUACCGGAUACGUGCGAGAGCAGAAAGAUUUAUCGCUGAAGGAUCGGCCCGCGUCUGAUUAGCUAGUUGGUGGGGUAAUGGCCCACAAAGGCGACGAUCAGCAGCUGGUCUGAGAGGAUGAUCAGCCACAUUGGGACUGAGACACGGCCCAAACUCCUACGGGAGGCAGCAGUGGGGAAUAUUGGACAAUGGGCGCAAGCCUGAUCCAGCCAUGCCGCGUGAGUGAUGAAGGCCUUAGGGUUGUAAAGCUCUUUCGUCCGGGACGAUAAUGACGGUACCGGAAGAAGAAGCCCCGGCUAACUUCGUGCCAGCCGCCGCCGUAA